GGUAAAGUGGCUGAAGUUUAUAGGUGAUAAAUUGUAAAUUUGUUUAUGAGGUUAAAUCCUUCUUUACCA
rnacentral:tRNA from 1 species